rnacentral:lncRNA from 1 species
UACCACUCUUGCUUCCCUUUGCCUGUGACGGAAUGUGCGUUCAAUCUCUAGAUCUAUAGGGACCAAGUCUUGAUCAGGUGCUCCUUGCAUGCAAGCCCUGAUAUAGCAAAAUUAACACAAAAGGUCAAUAUAAACAACAAUUAAAUAAAUCUAAUAAAAUUAACAAGUACUAAAAUGAAUAAGUUCGAAUUAGUGUCACAAAAGUUAGAAUUAAAUCUAAAAUUUAAUCCCCGGCAACGGCGCCAAAAACUUGUUCGCAAAAUAUUUCUUCUCGAUUUUAAAA